CCUCGGGCUGGAGGGGAACUCUUUUUCCUCUAAAACACCUUUCUGUCGGUGUUGUCGAUUAGAAGGAAUUUUUAGGAAGAGAACGAGAAGGAGAGGGGGAAGAAGUUUUAUUUUCUUUAUGGAUAAGAGAUGCAGAGGCUGCGGUAUUGGAAUGGCGUCGGAGAUGGACUUGAACAUCAACAUGUACAUUAACAUGGUGCUUUACAAACUCAACUUCCUGCUGCCUUCUGAUUUUGCUUUCGAACGAUUCACGCCUUGGUUUCGCUUAUUCAAUCUCCCGUAACCCUAGUUCUUAUUUCGUUUCUUAUUUAGAGUUGAGGUCACUCUAAGAAUUGUUUCCCUCCGUGGUGUCAAGUGUUGCAAACAGAAGAGGAGGGAAGGAACUUGUAUUCAAAAUCAGCAACUAAUAAUUGAU